rnacentral:rRNA from 1 species
GACGAACGCUGGCGGCGUGCCUAAUACAUGCAAGUUGAGCGCUGAAGGUUGGUACUUGUACCAACUGGAUGAGCAGCGAACGGGUGAGUAACGCGUGGGGAAUCUGCCUUUGAGCGGGGGACAACAUUUGGAAACGAAUGCUAAUACCGCAUAAAAACUUUAAACACAAGUUUUAAGUUUGAAAGAUGCAAUUGCAUCACUCAAAGAUGAUCCCGCGUUGUAUUAGCUAGUUGGUGAGGUAAAGGCUCACCAAGGCGAUGAUACAUAGCCGACAUGAGAGGGUGAUCGGCCAGUGUGGGACUGAGACACGUCCCAAACUCCUACGGGAGGCAGCAGUAGGGAAUCUGCGGCAAUGGACGAAAGUCUGACCGAGCAACGCCGCGUGAGUGAAGAAGGUUUUCGGAUCGUAAAACUCUGUUGGUAGAGAAGAACGUUGGUGAGAGUGGAAAGCUCAUCAAGUGACGGUAACUACCCAGAAAGGGACGGCUAACUACGUGCCAGCCGCCGCGGUAA